rnacentral:rRNA from 1 species
CCUACGGGUGGCUGCAGUGGGGAAUAUUGGACAAUGGGGGGAACCCUGAUCCAGCCAUGCCGCGUGUGUGAAGAAGGCCCUCGGGUUGUAAAGCACUUUCAGUGAGGAAGAACGCCUGGUGGUUAAUACCCAUCAGGAAAGACAUCACUCACAGAAGAAGCACCGGCUAACUCCGUGCCAGCAGCCGCGGUAAUACGGAGGGUGCGAGCGUUAAUCGGAAUUACUGGGCGUAAAGCGCGCGUAGGUGGCUUGAUAAGCCGGUUGUGACAGCCCCGGGCUCAACCUGGGAACGGCAUCCGGAACUGUCAAGCUAGAGUGCAGGAGAGGAAGGUAGAAUUCCCGGUGUAGCGGUGAAAUGCGUAGAGAUCGGGAGGAAUACCAGUGGCGAAGGCGGCCUUCUGGACUGACACUGACACUGAGGUGCGAAAGCGUGGGUAGCAAACAGGAUUAGAUACCCUAGUAGUC